GACUGUUGAGUAGCGCCGCGGCCCGGUAGCCGAACCGUCGCUUGCCUGUCUCGAGCCGCGAGCGUGGGAGGUGGAGAAGGUGGUCUUGCCGGGUGGACCUCUUUCGCGCGUCACUGUUAUAAGUGAACAUAGUAGCUAGUUCUUCGGGCUCGCCGUUCCUUAUUAUUUUCUGAGCAGUUACGAGGGUUUGAAUAUCGGCCAUAGCUUUCGGAGGUAUCCAUCCAAGCGAGUCGCGGAGGCCAGAGACGUGGUCGAAUUUACGGCGGCCGAAGAUGACCCGUGCUGCGAAGUUCAUAAUUUUUUGGAGCCGGUCAAAGUUUUUCCGGGAGCCAUUUCCGUAGACAGUGAGGCAGUACUGGACGCGCGAGAUGACAAGUGCCGUCACGAUCGUUUUGAGGAUGCCGUCUGGGAGACAGUGUCGUGCGUGGGAGAGGCCGAUCAGUACGCCCAUGCAACGACGGCUCAGCUCGGCUACGUGUGCCUCCCAGGGACACGCUCUGCGUGUGACCAUGGAGAUAAGCAGAAAACCAGGAGGUCUCAAUGCCGUACAUUUCAAGUUUUUUGACAAGGAGUUCAUGAUUGAUGACGUCGAAACAUUUGCUGAGAUCUAUGAGGCACAGCAUUGAGAUCUCACCCCUAUCGGUGGCGGCAAGGAUGCUAUCUGUGACUGACAGCAGUGCAGUCUCAGUGGAGUGCCGAGGGCGGAAUCCGUGUUGGGUAGACGAAAGAAGGUGGUUUUGGGAGAGGUAGUGAUAGAGCUGCCGAUGGAUUACACGCUCGAUGAUUUUCAUGAUAACGGGAACUAGGGAGAUCGGUCUGAAAUUGCUGGGGUCAGAUGGGUUGCCAGACUUGAAGAUGGGUUGGACGAUAGAGUGUUUCCAGGAGUUAGGUAUGUCGGAACGGGUGAUUGAGGUGUUUAUGAUGUGCAAAAUAACGUCGCCAAUGGUUUGGAAGCAAGUUUUUAACAUCCGGAUACAUAUAGCGUCGGUGCCACGCGCGGCGGAGUUUCGCAUGCUGAACACUGUGUGUCCGAGUUCCCCGAGAGUGAUGGCUCUCGGCUUAAAAUAGCAUGCGCCGACUCGGGGGAGACGUACGUUUAGGUCAGUAUUGAUGUUCUGGGUGCUCAAUUCGGUGGCGAUCCGGGGCCCGACAGAAACGAAGAAGGAGUUCAGGUCGUCGGGAGAUAGG
rnacentral:lncRNA from 1 species